UGAGGAAUAUUGGUCAAUGGGUGCAAGCCUGAACCAGCCAUCCCGCGUGAAGGACGACUGCCCUAUGGGUUGUAAACUUCUUUUGUAUAGGGAUAAACCUACCCUCGUGAGGGUAGCUGAAGGUACUAUACGAAUAAGCACCGGCUAACUCCGUGCCAGCAGCCGCGGUAAUACGGAGGGUGCAAGCGUUAUCCGGAUUUAUUGGGUUUAAAGGGUCCGUAGGCGGACUUAUAAGUCAGUGGUGAAAGCCUGUCGCUUAACGAUAGGACUGCCAUUGAUACUGUAAGUCUUGAGUAUAUUUGAGGUAGCUGGAAUAAGUAGUGUAGCGGUGAAAUGCAUAGAUAUUACUUAGAACACCAAUUGCGAAGGCAGGUUACCAAGAUAUAACUGACGCUGAGGGACGAAAGCGUGGGGAGCGAACA
rnacentral:rRNA from 1 species